rnacentral:rRNA from 1 species
GAUGAACGCUAGCGGCAGGCUUAACACAUGCAAGUCGAGGGGCAGCGCGAUGUAGCAAUACAUUGGCGGCGACCGGCGCACGGGUGCGUAACACGUAUGGAACUUACCCUUUACUGGGAGAUAGCCCGGAGAAAUCCGGAUUAAUAUCCCAUAAUAAACGAAGUGGCAUCACUUUGUUUUGAAAGCUCCGGCGGUAAAGGAUGGCCAUGCGCACGAUUAGCUAGUAGGUGAGGUAACGGCUCACCUAGGCUACGAUCGUUAGGGGGCCUGAGAGGGUUAUCCCUCACACUGGUACUGAGACACGGACCAGACUCCUACGGGAGGCAGCAGUGAGGAAUAUUGCGCAAUGGAGGCAACUCUGACGCAGCCAUGCCGCGUGCAGGAAGAAGGCGCUACGCGUUGUAAACUGCUUUUAACCGGGAAGAAACCCUCCGACGUGUCGGAGGUUGACGGUACCGGAGGAAUAAGCACCGGCUAACUUCGUGCCAGCAGCCGCGGU